UACGGAGGGUGCAAGCGUUAUCCGGAUUCACUGGGUUUAAAGGGUGCGUAGGAGGGCAGGUAAGUCAGUGGUGAAAUCUCUGGGCUCAACCCGGAAACUGCCGUUGAUACUAUCUGUCUUGAAUACUGUGGAGGUGAGCGGAAUAUGUCAUGUAGCGGUGAAAUGCUUAGAUAUGACAUAGAACACCAAUUGCGAAGGCAGCUCACUACACAUAUAUUGACUCUGAGGCACGAAAGCGUGGGGAUCAAACAGG
rnacentral:rRNA from 1 species